rnacentral:rRNA from 1 species
UGGGGAAUAUUGCACAAUGGGCGAAAGCCUGAUGCAGCAACGCCGCGUGAGUGAUGAAGGUCUUCGGAUUGUAAAGCUCUGUCUUUUGGGACGAUAAUGACGGUACCAAAGGAGGAAGCCACGGCUAACUACGUGCCAGCAGCCGCGGUAAUACGUAGGUGGCGAGCGUUGUCCGGAUUUACUGGGCGUAAAGGGUGCGUAGGCGGAUGUUUAAAGUGAGAUGUG